UACGGGGGGGGCAAGCGUUGUUCGGAAUUACUGGGCGUAAAGGGCGCGUAGGCGGCCUGCUAAGUCACACGUGAAAUCCCUCGGCUCAACCGGGGAACUGCGUGUGAUACUGGCGGGCUUGAAUUCGGGAGAGGGAUGUGGAGUUCCAGGUGUAGCGGUGAAAUGCGUAGAUAUCUGGAGGAACACCGGUGGCGAAGGCGGGUCUCUGGGCAGUAACUGACGCUGAGGAGCGAAAGCGUGGGGAGCGAACAGG
rnacentral:rRNA from 1 species